rnacentral:rRNA from 1 species
AAUGAACGCUGGCGGCGUGUCUUAAGCAUGCAAGUCGUGCGGCAAGGGUAGCAAUACCCCUAGAGCGGCGGACUGGUGAGUAACGCGUGGGUGAUCUGCCCAUCUCUGGGGAAUAACGUUUGGAAACGAACGCUAAUACCGCAUACGCCCGCAAGGGGAAAGAUUUAUCGGAGAUGGAUGAGCACGCGUUGGAUUAGUUAGUUGGUGGGGUAACGGCCUACCAAGGCGAUGAUCCAUAGCUGGUCUGAGAGGACGAUCAGCCACGCUGGAACUGAGAUACGGUCCAGACUCAGACGGGAGGCAGCAGCGAAUAAUAUUGGGCAAUGGAGGAAACUCUGACCCAGCCAUGCCGCGUGAAUGAAGAAGGCCUUCGGGUUAUAAAGUUCUUUUAGUCGUGACGAUGAUGACGGUAGCGACAGAAAAAGCACCGGCUAACUUCGUGCCAGCCGCCGCCGUAA